rnacentral:rRNA from 1 species
AUUGAACGCUGGCGGCAGGCCUAACACAUGCAAGUCGAACGAGUGGCGGACGGGUGAGUAAUGUAUGGGAAACUGCCCGAUGGAGGGGGAUAACUACUGGAAACGGUAGCUAAUACCGCAUACCAUCGGAUGUGCCCAUAUGGGAUUAGCUAGUAGGUGGGGUAAAGGCUCACCUAGGCGACGAUCCCUAGCUGGUCUGAGAGGAUGAACAGCCACACUGGAACUGAGACACGGCCCAGACUCCUACGGGAGGCAGCAGUGGGGAAUAUUGCACAAUGGGCGCAAGCCUGAUGCAGCCAUGCCGCGUGUAUGAAGAAGGCCUUAGGGUUGUAAAGUACUUUCAGCGAGGAGGCGUUACUCGCAGAAGAAGCACCGGCUAACUCCGUGCCAGCAGCCGCGGUAAUAC